rnacentral:rRNA from 1 species
ACGUGCCAGCAGCCGCGGUAAUACGUAGGAUGCGAGCGUUGUCCGGAAUUAUUGGGCGUAAAGGGCGUCUAGGUUGAUUAAUAAGUCCUGUGUGAAAUCUCUUGGCUCAACCAAGAAAUGUCACAGGAAACUAUUAAUCUAGAGGUCAUCAGAGGUAAGUGGAAUUCACGGAGUAGUGGUGAAAUGCGUAGAUACCGUGAGGAACACCAGAGGCGAAAGCGGCUUACUAGGAUGAACCUGACACUAAAGCCCGAAAGCGUGGGGAGCAAACCGGAUUAGAUACCCGGGUAGUCCACGCCAUAAACGAUGGAUACUAGUUAUGGGAGGCAUUGACCCAUCUGUAACGAAGCUAACGCAUUAAGUAUCCCGCCUGGGGAGUACGGCCGCAAGGUUAAAACUCAAAGAAAUUGACGGGGACCCGCACAAGCAGCGGAGCGUGUGGUUUAAUUCGAUGAUAAGCGAAGAACCUUACCAAGGCUUGAAAUAUAUCUGACAGCUAGUGAAAGCUAGUCUCCUUCGGGCAGAUAUACAGAUGUUGCAUGGCUGUCGUCAGCUCGUGCCGUGAGGUGUUGGGUUAAGUCCCGCAACGAGCGCAACCCUCAUCGUUAGUUACUAUGUCUAGCGAGACUGCCUCUAAAAAAGAGGAGGAAGGUGGGGAUGACGUCAAGUCAGCAUGGCUCUUACGCCUUGGGCUACACACACGCUACAAUGGCCAGUACAAAGGGCUGCAAAGGAGCGAUCCGGAGCUAAUCCCAUAAAGCUGGCCCCAGUUGGAAUUGCAGGCUGCAACUCGCCUGCAUGAA